CAACAACAUCCAGAAGCACAAAAGUACUAUUCCUUCUCAGAUGCCUCUUACAUUACAAAACAGAGCAUGAGGACACCUACAUUAUGCUACAAAAUACAAUGAAAAACACCAAUACUUCACAAACUGUUCCAAAGAAAAGAAGAGGAAACCCUUCCAAACUUUUUUCAUGAGGGCCGGGCUGUGGUUCGCUGACCCCUGAUCUGGCGUCUCUGUAACACAGAGCGGACGGUGGGUGUACGCUUUUGCUCCAGAACGACCCCAGCACAGGAGAUACAAGGUGGUACCUACUCGGCGUGAACCCUGACGUCCUGUGUCCUUUCCUUAUGAGGACGCGCACAUACACAUCUGGCACGGGGAGGAAGGUGUACUUCCAGUAGGUAAUGUGGCUUUAAAAAGCCUCCAAACCGGGUCACGUCCGCUGUGCAGUAUCCCUAAGAGAAAACACAGAGAGACUGUCUGGGCAGUGCGCAGGACGCCCACGCAUCACCGUCACGCACGACGCUUCUGCGCACGUCCUCCGUUUGAUGGCCGGUUCUACUUUGCUGGCUCGAUGACACCCUGCGUUGGAAAGCAUGUCGCUCACAAACGAGACCAAGUGACGCGGGGCACUGCGCGUUGGCGGACGGCUGCCACCGUCCUUCGGCCUAUUUUCAACCAGAAGCAUAAACAGCCUAGUAGAAACAGACAUGAAACGCGAGGCCUGAAGUCAUAAUUCACUGUAGAGCAACCUGCAGGCCAACGCAGGUUUAUUAGACGGCUAAUAAAAAUAAAUCAUGGACGUGUUUUGAAAAUGA